rnacentral:rRNA from 1 species
GAUGAACGCUGGCGGUAUGCUUAACACAUGCCAGUCGAACGGACUCUUCGGAGUUAGUGGCGGACGGGUGAGUAACGCGUGAGAAUCUGGCUUUGGGUUCGGGACAACCACUGGAAACGGUGGCUAAUACCGGAUGUGCCGAGAGGUAAAAGAGAAAUUGCCUGAAGAUGAGCUCGCGUCUGAUUAGCUAGUUGGUGAGGUAAAGGCUCACCAAGGCAGCGAUCAGUAGCUGGUCUGAGAGGAUGACCAGCCACACUGGGACUGAGACACGGCCCAGACUCCUACGGGAGGCAGCAGUGGGGAAUUUUCCGCAAUGGGCGAAAGCCUGACGGGGCAAUACCGCGUGAGGGAAGAAGGCUCUUGGGUUGUAAACCUCUUUUCUUAGGGAAGAACAAAAUGACGGUACCUAAGGAAUCAGCAUCGGCUAACUCCGUG